rnacentral:lncRNA from 1 species
GAGCAACUGUGCGCCCAGAAGUGCAGCGCGGAGGAGUUCGAGAGCUGUGGGACCCCCAGCUACUUCAUCGUGUACCAGACACAGGUCCAAGACAACCGCUGUAUGGACAGAAGGUUCCUCCCAGCCAAGUCGAAGAAGCUCAUCGCUCUAGCCAGCUUCCCGGGCGCCGGCAACACGUGGGCUCGCCACCUCAUCGAGCUGGCUACCGGCUUUUACACUGGCAGCUACUACUUCGAUGGCUCUCUGUACAACAAAGGAUUCAAAGGUGAACGCGACCACUGGCGAAGCGGGCGGACCAUCUGCAUCAAGACCCACGAGAGCGGCCAGAAGGAGAUCGAGGCCUUCGACUCGGCUAUCUUGCUCAUCCGCAACCCCUACAAGGCCCUCAUGGCAGAGUUCAACCGCAAAUAUGGAGGCCACAUAGGCUUUGCCGCCCACGCCCACUGGAAAGGCAAAGGUACAGGAGGGAGCGCCUGGGGCCGCGUGGGUGUGCCGGGCGGCCAGCAAGGAGCUCUUAAGAGCCACACAGAGCUUGUGCAAAGCUGCAGCUCUUAGCUGUGGAGCCGUGGCACCAAGGGCCACACCCAAAAGCACCAGGAGCUAAGGAUUCCAACUUUACAGUGAAUCUUGAUAACCGCACUCGCAUCCCUUCCCCUUCCUUGAACAACUCUUAACUUUCAAGACUUGGGAGUUGUGAUAAAACUGGGGUUCAAAAGGCUGGGAGGUGCGCUCUCUCCUCAGCAGCUGCGGUUCUCAAUACAGGGACGGAGGCACUGCUAGUC